rnacentral:rRNA from 2 species
AGUUGGCGGGUGCUAUAAUGCAGUCGAGCGAACUGAUUAGAAGCUUGCUUCUAUGACGUUAGCGGCGGACGGGUGAGUAACACGUGGGCAACCUGCCUGUAAGACUGGGAUAACUCCGGGAAACCGGAGCUAAUACCGGAUAACAUUUUUUCUUGCAUAAGAGAAAAUUGAAAGAUGGUUUCGGCUAUCACUUACAGAUGGGCCCGCGGUGCAUUAGCUAGUUGGUGAGGUAACGGCUCACCAAGGCAACGAUGCAUAGCCGACCUGAGAGGGUGAUCGGCCACACUGGGACUGAGACACGGCCCAGACUCCUACGGGAGGCAGCAGUAGGGAAUCUUCCGCAAUGGACGAAAGUCUGACGGAGCAACGCCGCGUGAGUGAUGAAGGCUUUCGGGUCGUAAAACUCUGUUGUUAGGGAAGAACAAGUACAAGAGUAACUGCUUGUACCUUGACGGUACCUAACCAGAAAGCCACGGCUAACUACGUGCCAGCAGCCGCGGUAAUACGUAGGUGGCAAGCGUUAUCCGGAAUUAUUGGGCGUAAAGCGCGCGCAGGCGGUUUCUUAAGUCUGAUGUGAAAGCCCACGGCUCAACCGCGGAGGGUGAUUGGAAACUGGGGAACUUGAGUGCAGCA